UCAUUGGUGGUUCAGUGGUAAAAUUCUUGCCUUCCAUGCAGGAGACCAGAGUUUGAUUCCUGGCUAAUGCA
rnacentral:tRNA from 1 species